rnacentral:rRNA from 1 species
GACAGAGGGUGCAAGCGUUGUUCGGAAUCAUUGGGCGUAAAGGGCGCGUAGGUGGCUUUGUAAGUCAUAUGUGAAAGCCCGGGGCUUAACCCCGGAAGUGCAUGUGAUACUGCAUGGCUUGAGUCCUGGAGAGGGUGGUGGAAUUCCUGGUGUAGAGGUGAAAUUCGUAGAUAUCAGGAGGAACACCGGUGGCGAAGGCGACCACCUGGACAGAGACUGACACUGAGGCGCGAAAGCGUGGGGAGCAAACAGG